AUUGAACGCUGGCGGCAUGCUUUACACAUGCAAGUCGAACGGCAGCGCGGGGCAACCUGGCGGCGAGUGGCGAACGGGUGAGUAAUACAUCGGAACGUACCCAGAAGUGGGGGAUAACGUAGCGAAAGUUACGCUAAUACCGCAUACGUUCUACGGAAGAAAGUGGGGGACCUUCGGGCCUCAUGCUUUUGGAGCGGCCGAUGUCUGAUUAGCUAGUUGGUGAGGUAAAGGCUCACCAAGGCGACGAUCAGUAGCUGGUCUGAGAGGACGACCAGCCACACUGGGACUGAGACACGGCCCAGACUCCUACGGGAGGCAGCAGUGGGGAAUUUUGGACAAUGGGCGCAAGCCUGAUCCAGCAAUGCCGCGUGAGUGAAGAAGGCCUUCGGGUUGUAAAGCUCUUUUGUCAGGGAAGAAACGGCUGAGGUUAAUACCUUCGGCUAAUGACGGUACCUGAAGAAUAAGCACCGGCUAACUACGUGCCAGCAGCCGCGGUAAUAC
rnacentral:rRNA from 1 species